CCACGAUAACGGGAGAGGGGCUCGACGAUGGCACAAAGUGUUUGAUGACAAUUGUAUUCUGUAUUAUCAGGGACUUAUUCCCCAAGUUUGUAAACAUUAACAGAAACAAUGGUAAAUGCCAUUCAUCCAUCCAUCUUCUUCCACUUAUCUGAGAUUGGGCCGCGGGGGCAGCAGCCUAAGCAGGGAAGCCCAGACUUCCCUCUCCCCAGCCACUUCGUCCAGCUCCUCCCGGGGGAUCCCGAGGCGUUCCCAGGCCAGCCUGAAGACAUAGUCUUCCCAAUGUGUCCUGGGUCUUCUAUAUGGCCUCCUACUGGUCAGAUUCACACAUGGAUGGCGGGGGCUUUCAUGCAAGGCCCUAACCACCACCCAUCAGGAGCAAGGUUGACGUGUCUUGCUCAAGGACACGAUGAACGAGACGAGGUUGGUAGAAGCUGGGGAUGGAACCAGGAACCCUCAGGUUGCUGACACGGCCACUCUCCCAACUGCGCCACGCCGUCCCCAAAAAACAAAUAUGAUUUUAAGACAAAAUAAAUA